UGGGCAUGUAUUGCUGAGAAAAGGUC
rnacentral:piRNA from 1 species